rnacentral:misc_RNA from 1 species
AGGAAUAUAUCCGGUGGCUUAAAAACAUCAAGAAUUUUGUCGAAAACUAGCACCCUUUUUUCAUUGAUAUUUAGAACCUGUUGAUGGUGAUCUGGUGUUCUUACUGAAGAAACAUUGGGCCAAUGUCAGACGAUAGACAAUGAUGGAUGUAACGUCAAAGUUGGUAAGAAAUAGCAAUUGUUAUAACCACAUCAAACUUAUUUGCAGUA